rnacentral:rRNA from 1 species
GUGAGUAGUUCAGAGUUUGAUCCUGGCUCAGGAUGAACGCUGGCGGCGUGCAUAACACAUUCAAGUCGAACGGUGAACCCUUCGGGGGAUCAGUGGCGGACGGGUGAGUAACGCGUGAGCAACCUGCCCUUGUGUGGGGGAUAACAUCUGGAAACGGAUGAUAAUACCGCAUAACGCACGGAGGUCGCAUGACCACUGUGCCAAAGAUUUAUUGCGCAAGGAUGGGCUCGCGUUGGAUUAGAUAGUUGGUGAGGUAACGGCUCACCAAGUCGACGAUCCAUAGCCGGACUGAGAGGUUGAACGGCCACAUUGGAACUGAGAAACGGUCCAG